UACGUAGGGUGCGAGCGUUGCCCGGAUUCAUUGGGCGUAAAGCGCGCGCAGGCGGCCUCGCGCGUCCGACGUGAAAGCCCCCGGCUUAACCGGGGAGGGUCGUUGGGGACGGCGGGGCUUGAGGGCGGGAGAGGUCGGUGGAAUUCCCGGUGUAGUGGUGAAAUGCGUAGAGAUCGGGAGGAACACCUGUGGCGAAGGCGGCCGACUGGGCCGACCCUGACGCUGAGGCGCGAAGGCGUGGGGAGCGAACGGG
rnacentral:rRNA from 1 species